rnacentral:rRNA from 1 species
UUUAUGGAGAGUUUGAUCCUGGCUCAGGAUGAACGCUGGCGGCGUGCCUAAUACAUGCAAGUCGAACGCAACACUUCGGUGUUGAGUGGCGAACGGGUGAGUAACACGUAGAUAACCUGCCCUU